UUAAUGUCUAUCAAAAGCGAAGUUACAAAAAUUAUAGAUUUUGAAGAGAUUCUGAAUCAAUUUAUGCAUGAAAAAUCAAGGAAAAAAAAUAUACUAAUUUUGAUACAUAUUGUUGGCAACAUUGCUACAGCAAGAAUGAAGACAUUGAUACACUUUUGCAUUAUGAAAUACACAAUUUGGCAGUUUCUUGCCCACUGUCACCUAAAUACAGGUUGGCAUCAGAUUUCAAUCGGCAAACAUAAAGCCAUUUUUACAAAGGUUUUACUAUAAAAGAAAAAAACAAGGCAGUUCUCGAUGACAAGAUCUUAUGAUCUUCUGCAAAUAUCUGCGUUCUUCUUAUUUUAACGCUAACAAAGCUUGUAAC
rnacentral:lncRNA from 1 species